rnacentral:rRNA from 1 species
CAAUAGCGUAUAUUAAAGUUGUUGCGGUUAAAAAGCUCGUAGUUGGAUCUCGGCAGGCAGGGGGUGGUUCGCUCUUAGCGCUACUGCCCCAUUUGCCUGUGUGAUUGGCGGAGGUUUCGGGGUGCUCUUCGUUGAGUGACCCGGGGCGCCGUCAGGUUUACUUUGAAAAAAUUAGAGUACUCAAAGCAGGCUUUUCACGCUUGAAUAUUCGUGCAUGGAAUAAUGGAAUAGGAACUCGUUUCUAUUUUGUUGGUUUUCGGAAAUCGAGUUAAUGAUUAAUAGGGACAAUUGGGGGCAUUAGUAUUCAGACGACAGAGGUGAAAUUCUUGGACCGUCUGAAGACUAACUACUGCGAAAGCAUUUGCCAAGAGUGUUUUCAUUAA